GAUGAAGAACGUAGCGAAAUGCGAUAAGUAAUGUGAAUUGCAGAAUUCAGUGAAUCAUCGAAUCUUUGAACGCACAUUGCGCCCGGUAGUAUUCUGCCGGGCAUGCCUGUUCGAACGUCAUUUCAACCAUCAAGCCCCAGCGCUUGUGUUGGGGGCCUGCGGCUGCCGCAGCCCCCCAAAAGCAGUGGCGGGCUCGCUAUCACACCGAGUGCAGUAGUUCAUCUUCUCUCCGGUCUUGUGAGGCGGGUUCCGGCCGUGAAACACCCCACUACAUUCAAGGUUGACCUCGGAUCAGGUAGGAAUACCCGCUGAACUUAAGCAUAUCAAUAACGGAGGA
rnacentral:misc_RNA from 1 species